GACGAACGCUGGCGGCGUGCUUAACACAUGCAAGUCGAACGGAAAGGCCCUGCUUGCAGGGUGCUCGAGUGGCGAACGGGUGAGUAACACGUGGGUGAUCUGCCCCUUACUUUGAGAUAAGCCUGGGAAACUGGGUCUAAUACUGGAUAGGACCAUGCUGUAGGUGGUGUGGUGGAAAGAUUAGUUUCGGUAAGGGAUGAGCUCGCGGCCUAUCAGCUUGUUGGUGGGGUAAUGGCCUACCAAGGCGUCGACGGGUAGCCGGCCUGAGAGGGUGGACGGCCACAUUGGGACUGAGAUACGGCCCAGACUCCUACGGGAGGCAGCAGUGGGGAAUAUUGCACAAUGGGCGCAAGCCUGAUGCAGCGACGCCGCGUGGGGGAUGACGGCCUUCGGGUUGUAAACUCCUUUCAGCCAUGACGAAGCCCUUGUGGUGACGGUAGUGGUAGAAGAAGCACCGGCUAACUACGUG
rnacentral:rRNA from 1 species